rnacentral:lncRNA from 1 species
UUGGAACCUUAUUUAGUAGAUAAUUUAUGUAUAAGUUUAAAUUCGAGCACUAAUAAUAUAACUAAAUAUAGGUUUUCGCACUCUGGUGAGACCCACCUAGGUAAUCAGAGCAACACAAAUGAUGAAACACAUAUAACUACUCAAGAUACAACAAACGAAAUCAACAACCCUAACCACACAGCUAUCGAAUUAUGUGAUAAGUUUAGGUUAGCGAAAAAAAUAAAUUCUUUUUUUUAUAAAAAGAAUAUACAAAUUGAUGACAUAGUAAACAAACUGUUUGUGGAUAAUAAAGAUAAUGUAUAUAGCAAGAUUUUAAAAAAUAAUUUAUUACUAAUAAAGAAAUUAAAAGAGUUUAAAAUGGAGACACUGUAUCCUAUAUUCAAUGCAAGUCUAAUAUUUUUAUUUGAUGAUUAUUAUUUUUUUAUUAUACAGAAUAUAAAAUUAGUAAUAGAAGACAAAGAAAAAAAAUUUCAAGAUCAUAACAUUUUUUUUAAUUUAUCUUUUAUUUUAUUACAUCAAUUUGCAAAGGAUGUAAAAAUAGAAAAUUAUUUAGUUUCGAUUUUUUAUAUUUUAAAACUUUCUUUAAAUAAAAUAAAAUUAUUAAACAUGGUUGAAGAGUUAGAUAGUAACAAUAACCGCGACACGGAACAUAUAGUAAUUUACGAUAAAAAAAAACAUAGUUUUGAAAACAAUAUAAAAUAUUAUAAUAUAAAUAAUGAUCAAAAUAUUGUGGAAAACAAUAACAAUAUGCUUGAAAAAAAAAAAAAAAAUAAUCAAGAGAAUGAGUAUGACAAUGUGUCAUUCUCUAAUAUGAUAGAAGAUAAAAAAAGUAGGAAAAUAAAAACUGUGAACGAAAAAGAUGAUACUAAUCAACAAAAAAAUUUUAUAGAAGAAAAAAUAAAACUAUAUCAACACGUUUUUUAUAUAUUUCUAAAACUGUUAAAACAUAUUUUAAAAACAAACAAUUUAUUUUACAACUUUAAAUAUAUUCUAUAUGACAUUUUAUUUUCGGAAUAUUCUAAUAAAAACAUAAUCAUGUCAUGUAUGAAAUGUAUAUUAGAUAAAACAAAAUUAAAAGAGAUAUAUAACUAUUGUAUAGAAACAUUAAACAAUGUAAAAUUUACAAAAGUCGAAGAAUUGACCAUGUUUUUGGAUAAGGAAAAACCGACUGAUAUGUUGAUCGUUUCUUCAGAUGAUGCAGAGGACAAUACAAAAGUAAUGAAGCAAGGUUAUAAGGUAGUUGCUAAGAAAAAGAACCUCGAAAAAGAGCAAAUGAUUAAAAACAAAAAAGGGUAUAAAUAUAUGGACAUCACAAGUGACGAACAAAGUAACAAAAAACAGCAAGGACGACUGUAUAAAAACAAAAACGACAGCUUUAAGGUAGAUACAAGUAAUAACAUCAUAUGUGAUAAUAAAAACAGUAAUAAUUACCUUUUUCUGGUUGUUAAUAACAAGAAACAUUUUAAACUAAGAUUUGGUAACAAUGACAGAGUAAAAAAUACUACAGUUUCCUCUUUAUAUAUUAAUCUGAUUAUACUAUAUUUUAUAAUCCAACAGAAAAAUAAAAAUAAUCACAAAAGUAAGUUAUAUAAUAGGAUAAAAUUAACUGUACAAGAUUGUUUCGAGAUUAUUAACAAACUAUUAUGUAUUUUAUAUUCAACAGAAGAUGAUUUACCGUUUCAUAUUUAUUAUAAUACCUAUUUAAAAUAUGUAUGUUUAAAACUGUUUAAAGAGUUUUAUAAUGUACUAACAACUAAAGAAAUACGCUUGAUAUUAAAACAUUUAAAAAGUAAAUAUAUAGAAGAUGUGACCUAUAUGGAUACAAAAUUGAAUACAAUAAAAAAAUUAAAAAACGAUAUAUUACAUUUUUUUACUUUUUUAUUAACUAGCGAAAUGGAAAAUUAUUUAUUUCAAAAGAAUGACAGUGGUAGUAAUAACUAUAAUGAAUAUACUAUGCAUAAUGAUGAUAGUGGGAACAGUAGUAAUAAAAAAAAAAAGAAAAUAAAAAAAAAUAAUAAGAGUGAUAUUAAAAAUUUAGAUACCAAAUGUUAUCAACUGUUUUAUCUACAUAAUUUAAAUUGUAAUAAUAUUAUGCUAAAAAAUCCAACUUUUUUUUUUAUGUUAAAUAGUUUAUUAUUUAUUUUUAAUAAAAAAUAUGAUAAAUCAAGUUACUACCAAUUAGUAUAUAUUUGCUUAAAUGAGAAACAAGAAAAUCGGAAUUAUAUUUUACAAAAAAUUAUAUCAUCAAUAAAAUAUUAUUUUAAGCUUAGUCAAUUUUAUAGUAAUAUAAAAAAAUUAAACAAAAUAAAAAAAAUCAUGUUACCCGAAGAUAUUAUUAAUCAUUCAGUUUUAUUAUAUAUCAUUAGAACCACUAUCAUUAUUUUUUUACUAAUAGAUAAUUAUUCAGUUAAUAAAAAUGACAUAAAAGAGGAACAAGAAAAAAAGCAAAACGCUGAUAAAAUAAAUAAUUGCAUUACCUAUAAAAUGUAUAAAAAUGAUUAUAUAAAAAAAAAAUAUUUAAAAUAUUAUUAUACACAAUUAAAUUUUUUAUUAUUCAGAAUUUUUUAUAAUGAAAAAAAUAUACCCUAUUUUUUAAAAAUAUUUUUCAGCACAUUAUAUAUUAUAUCUUUUAAAAAAACGAAUAAAGAUAUUUUAUAUUUUUUCGACAAAAUAUUUUCCUUUGGAAAAAAUAACGAAUUAGUUGAACCUAAAAAACGAAAAGAGAGUGUUGUUAGUUAUGAGUUAGACGUUAAAAAAGAGGGAGCAAGAACAGCAGAAGUAGAAAAACCAAAAGAGGUACUUUCCCCCAAAGAUAUGUUGUAUAGCAAUAUGGAGGAAAAGAACAAAAAAUAUAUCUAUCCUGGAAAACAAACAAAAACAAACAAAAUUGUGAAAAAAAACGAUAAUUCAGAUUAUUCAGAAAUUGAAGCAUCAAGUGCUGCUGCUAGUACUAGCAGUAGUAAUAAAGCGAAAACAAAUAAUCAACAUGUGCUAACUAAACAAACAAAGGAAAAAUUAAAUAAUGAAACUGAGCAAAAAAAAAAAAGGUAUAAUCCUUCUUCUAAUGUACCAAAUAAAACAUAUAUUGCCACAUCUGAUAGUUUAAGUGAAACUUCUACUUCUGAUUCAGACAGUACAUAUGUACCGAGCCGUUAUGAUGGUAAUAAGCGUAAACAAAAAGCCAACGUAGAUAGAAAUGACAAUAAUAAACGAAAGAAGUCGACGAACAAAAGCCAUACUACUGCGACAACGUUAAAAACUUUAAGAAUAACAAAAAAUAAUAAAAAAACGAAUAUUGAUAAUAAUAAUAAUAAUAAUAAUAGUAAUAAUAAUAAUAGUAAUAAUAAUAAUAAUAGUAAUAACGAUAGCGCACAUGACAAUAGUACCUGUAGCAUCAGCGACAGUAAUAAUAAUAAUAACCACAAAAUUAGUGGAAAUGAUAAAAAAAAACCGAAUGUUAACACGAAAAGACAUAUGAGCGAAUCAUUAUCAAAAGUGCAAUUACUAAAACAGAGUAGCAAUAUAAACCAAAAAAUUGAACAAAAUGAUAUAGAAGAAGUAAAAAAAAAUGCAAGUUCGAACUCAAACUCGAAUUCGAACUCGAACUCGAACUAUGCAGAGAACUUUGAAUUUAACGGAGCUUUAUCAAUAAAAAUUUUAAAUAAUUUUUUACAUUUGUGUAAACAAUUUCAUAAAGAUUUGGAACUAAAAAUAUAUAAUGGAGUAAUAGCAAAUCUAAAAGAAAAUAUAAAUGACAAAGAAAAGUUAAAAAAAUUUUUAAGGACAAAUUUUAACAAUAAGGAAAAAGAAUCAAUCAAAUAUAAAAAAAAAUUCGAACUAUUAAAAAUUAUUAAUACAAAAAUUAUUUUUCUUAAUUAUGUCAAAGAAAAUUUAAAAAAAAAAAAGUCUCUUAUAGCGAGGCUGAGUGAGCUAAACUUAAACAUUUUUAAAAAUAAGUCAUUGUUCCAUAUUGAGUUGGAUUUUGUAUAAAUUUGCGAAACGUAAGUUGGAAAUACAUAAAAAGAAAAUGCAUGAAAUGGGGAUUAGCCAUAAUAAACACACAAGAACAGCAAGCA